CUACGGGGGGCUGCAGGCGAGAAAACUUUGCAAUGUGCGAAAGCACGACAAGGUUAAUCCGAGUGGUUUCUGUUAAAGGAACCUUUUGUUAGUCCUAGAAACACUGAUGAAUAAGGGGUGGGCAAGUUCUGGUGUCAGCCGCCGCGGUAAAACCAGCACCUCAAGUGGUCAGGAUGAUUAUUGGGCCUAAAGCAUCCGUAGCCGGCUUUGUAAGUUUUCGGUUAAAUCCAUACGCUCAACGUAUGGGCUGCCGGGAAUACUGCAAAGCUAGGGAGUGGGAGAGGUAGACGGUACUCGGUAGGAAGGGGUAAAAUCCUUUGAUCUAUUGAUGACCACCUGUGGCGAAGGCGGUCUACCAGAACACGUCCGACGGUGAGGGAUGAAAGCUGGGGGAGCAAACCGGAUUAGAUACCCUCGUAGUC
rnacentral:rRNA from 1 species